UACGCAGUAGUCGUCGCAUAACGCACCAAUCUUUCGCCUUUUACUAAAGAUUGCCGUGCGGCGUCUACAUUUAAUGCUAUUUAUCUAAUUUUUUUGGCGCUCAGGCGCC
rfam:Theileria annulata genomic DNA chromosome 1 part 1